UGGUUAAGCUAUAAAGAGCGCAGGGUGGAUGCCUUGGCACUAAGAGCCGAUGAAAGACGUGAUAAGCUGCGAAAAGCUUCGGGGAGGAGCAAAUAUCCUUUGAUCCGGAGAUAUCUGAAUGGGGAAACCCGGCUGAGCAAACCUCAGCCACUGCAUGGUGAAUCCAUAGCCAUGCAGGGGGAACCCGGUGAACUGAAACAUCUAAGUAACCGGAGGAAGAGAAAGAAACAUCGAUUCCCAAAGUAGCGGCGAGCGAAAUGGGAAGAGCCCAAACCAGCGUGCGUGCAUGCUGGGGUUAAGGACUGCGUACGUGAACCGAAUUGUUAGUGGAACUGUCUGGGAAGUCAGGCCGGAGAGGGUGAAAGCCCCGUACACGAAAGCAAUAGGAAGCAGCAGGAUCCAGAGUACCACGAGACACGAGAAACCUUGUGGGAAGUAGGAGGGACCACCCUCCAAGGCUAAAUACUCCUUAGUGACCGAUAGCGCAUAGUACUGUGAAGGAAAGGUGAAAAGGACCCCGGGAGGGGAGUGAAAAAGAACCUGAAACCCUGUGUUUACAAGCUGUGGAAGCACGUUAAGGUGC
rnacentral:rRNA from 1 species